rnacentral:lncRNA from 1 species
GCUCUCUCCUCAUCUGGCCACGUGUUCUCGCAUACCCCUAGAGCAUCGAGCCAGCGGGGUGGUGGCACUGGAAUCCUCAUCUCUCCCAAGUGGACAUUCUCUCUUUCUCCCCUGACCCAUCUGUCUAUCUCCUCAUUUGAAUUCCAUGCUGUCACAGUUACCAGCCCUUUCAAGCUUAACAUCCUCAUCAUUUAUCGCCCUCCAGGUUCCCUUGGAGAGUUCAUCAAUGAGCUUGACGCCUUGAUAAGUUCCUUCCCUGAGGAUGGCUCACCUCUCACAGUUCUGGGUGACUUUAACCUCCCCACGUCUACCUUCGACUCAUUCCUCUCUGCCUCCUUCUUUCCACUCCUCUCCUCUUUUGACCUCACCCUCUCACCAUCCCCCCCUACUCACAAGGCAGGCAAUACGCUUGACCUCAUCUUUACUAGAUGCUGUUCUUCCACUAAUCUCAUUGCAACUCCUCUCCAAGUCUCCGACCACUACCUUGUAUCCUUUUCCCUCUCGCUCUCAUCAAAAACUUCUCACUCUGCCCCUACUCGGAUGGUAUUGCGCCGUCCCAACCUUCGCUCUCUCUCUCCUGCUACUCUCUCCUCUUCCAUCCUAUCAUCUCUUCCCUCUGCUCAAACCUUCUCCAACCUAUCUCCUGAUUUUGCCUCCUCAACCCUCCUCUCCUCCCUCUCUGCAUCCUUUGAUUUUCUCUGUCCCCUAUCCUCCAGGCCGGCUCGGUCCUCCCCUCCUGCUCCGUGGCUCGACGACUCACUGCGAGCUCACAGAACAGGGCUCCGGGCAGCCGAGCGGAAAUGGAGGAAAACUCGCCUCCCUGCGGACCUCGCAUCCUUUCACUCCCUCCUCUCUACAUUUUCCUCUUCUGUCUCUGCUGCUAAAGCCACUUUCUACCACUCUAAAUUCCAAGCAUCUGCCUCUAACCCUAGGAAGCUUUUUGCUACCUUCUCCUCCCUCCUGAAUCCUCCUCCCCCUCCCCCCCCCCUCCUCCCUCACUGC